UACGGGGGGGGGCAAGCGUUGUUCGGAAUUACUGGGCGUAAAGGGUGCGUAGGCGGCCCUCUAAGUCGAACGUGAAAUCCCCGGGCUCAACCCGGGAACUGCGUCCGAUACUGGAAGGCUUGAAUCCGGGAGAGGGAUGCGGAAUUCCAGGUGUAGCGGUGAAAUGCGUAGAUAUCUGGAGGAACACCGGUGGCGAAGGCGGCAUCCUGGACCGGCAUUGACGCUGAGGCGCGAAAGCCAGGGGAGCAAAGCGGG
rnacentral:rRNA from 1 species